GGAGAUCGUGACCUGAGCCAAAGUCGGCCGCUUAACCGACUGAGCCACCCAGGCACCCAGAGCCUGUUUAUUUUGUAGAGUUCAUGAACAGUCGGCAAGUAUGAUCCAGGUCAGUGAAGUGGAGAAAGGCAUACCAAUUAUAAGGGUUAAUUUGGAAGAGUGGCAAGAAUAUAAGACCCAAAACAAGUGUGACUCCUUACUCUUGUUUACUGACUGUUGUUCAGGAACCUUGUUUCUCCUAAGAUGGAAAAUGAAUUCUUCCUCACUUCAGAUACUUAUGAGUAAUAAGGGACCUAACAGAUAGGAAGGUGUUUUUGAAAAUUGAAAAGUGCAACAAAGCAAAACAGAACAAAACAUGAAGAAUUUGUGAUGGUAAAGUGAAGUCACUGGGAGGAGCAUGUGUGUUUUUGUGAGAUGUCCCUAGAGAAAAGUCACACCCAGAAUCCUACACUGGAGCUCUAAACAGACUUCAGUUAAUGGUGAUAAUUCCAUAAUCUUCAUCGGAUGCCUUUUAGUUUAGUUAACUGUUUCACAUGAACAAGUUUUCAUUUCUACAGAUAGAAUUAAUCUCUUAGAAAUUAUGUUAAUACAUUUAGCGUAAGUGUUUUAGGACAGUUUUUCUAUGAUCAGCAAACUAAGGACUGGCAUUAGACUGUCUAUCAAAAAAUAAGUUACGUGUAUUUUAAUUCAAUAUCUAACAUCUUUUCAUGAUGUUGAUUUUGUAAAUGAAAUAAGGUCUGAAACCUUGUCUAACACAGUAUGUUUCAUUUCUUGUCCAUUUUGAUCAGAUUUAAUCUGUAAAUUUUUCAUGUAUUUACAUUUCGGGUGAUCUACAAUGCCCUUGAUUACUGUAUUCAUCCAUUUCCCAUCCACCAGGGCAAUCAAUCUUAUUUUUUCUCUGCAGUCUAUUUUUAAUAUAUUAGGGAAAAGAAACAGAACAUAAAAUGCCAGUAGAGAAAUUGCCAUGCCCUCCAUUUGCAUUCCCUAAUAUAGGUAAAGUAUAUGAUAACCCUGGGAAAACUUUCAGUGUUGUCUCCUUACCACAUAAUGCAUACCAGGAAUAACUUAUAAGGCAGAGAAGUAGAAUUCUCUAAAUUACUUUUAAAAUUCAGUACUUGGAUGGUGUAGAUUGAUGGUUCUUUAAGGGAAAGAGGAAAUGGUUUUGCUCCAAAGGAACCUUUGGCAAUCUCUGGAGACCUUUCUCAUUGUCAGCUGAAGGGAUAUGGCUGGUAUCUGGUCAGUAGAGGCCAAAGAUGCUGCUGAACAUUCUACAAUGCACAGGACAGCCCCCACAGUAAAGAAUUCUCCUGCCCCAAAUGUCAGCAGUGCUAAGAUGGAGAAACCCUGCUUUAGAUUCAAUUGGUAAUCAAGUUUUGUGAUUACUUGAAAAGAGUCUAUUCAUUGAGGUUUGUGGAUGGAAAAGGAGAAAUUUCAUAGAGUCAGAUUGAAAUAAGUUUUGAUUUGUUUUUGGUGUUGGGUUUUUUGUUUGUUUUUUUUUCUUUUAAGCCAUGGUUUCAGCGUUCAGCACUGCAGUUCAGUGGCGUUUACAUUAGUUUCACUUCUGAUACUUUCAAGUUAGAGAACACAAAAUCCAAAAAGGGAAUCCUUGAAUCUUUCUGCACUGGAAGCUGGGCUUGGAAACGGCCAGAACUCCUCUGGCCAACUCAGCUACCGCUCAGCCUGAAGAUGUAGUUGGUGCAACCAAUGUAAUCGUAAGUCAUAACAUUGCAGUGACAGUUACUGGUGCCCCUGAUAUUUUCAUAUGCGUCUCACUUAGUUUUCGUAGCUCCUCUCUGAGUAGCUUCAAAGUGUGAAAACAUGGGAAAUUUCUGAAAUCUAGAAAUAGAGUACCAAGACUGCUAUCAUUUACCCAAAUAAAAAGGAAUUUAAAAAAUGACAAUUAUUAAAAUGGUGUGAAGAGAUGGAGGAGGUACUGCCUGUUUGUUGGGAAAAGAAUCUUCUGGCCUCUAAGUAAUAAUAAAGGAGUAAAGUGAGUCAUGUUCAAGGAGCUAAGUAAAAUGAAGGAGCAAUAGGAAAGUUGAGGAGAAACCUUCCUUUUUAGAGCUUACACAUAUUUGUUGAUUUACUCUCUUUUUCCUCGGCGUUUUGUCUGUCAUUUUGCAUUUUUGUCACGUUCCAGUGGAAAACUCCACCUGCUAGUGGAAAAAGAGCGGUGCAAUUAUUGUAAGUCACAAAAACCUCUAUUGGAUUUUGAGUAUAUUGAGUUAGCUAGGGAGUUUGUUUUAUUAUGUUGCUGCCCAGCUGAGGUAAAAAUUUAUGGCAUUGGGAGUCUAAUUUUAGCCGUUCUAAUGAGUAUGUAGUGGAAUGUCAUUUGGGGUUUAAUUUGCAUUUCUCUGAUGACCAGUGAUGUUGAGCAAAAUUUCAUGUGCUUGUCAUUUGUGUCUCGUCAUUUGUGAAAGUUCUUAACCAAUAGUUGGCCUGUUUUUAAUGAGUUUAUUUUUUAUUUUCUUAUAGAGGUCCAAGAGUUCAUUGUUUUUGCUAUAUGUUCUUUCUCAGAAGAUUAUUAUGAAUAUUUUCUGUUAUGUGUGAAUUUUCUUAUUUUUUUUUCCUCAGUAGUGUCUCUCAGAGAGCGAAGUUUUAAAUUUUGAUAUCCAACUUACCGCCUUUGUGUUUGUAGUUUGUACUUUUUAUCACCUAUCUUAGAAAUCUUUGCCCACAACAGGGUGGUGAAGAUACUAGUUUUCCCUGGGAAUUUGUAAUUUGUGUAAUUUUAGCUUUUGCAUUUAGCUGCAUAAGUCACUUUGAGUUAAUUUUCAUAUGUGGUCGAAUUCAAGGUUCAUUUGUUUUCUCUUGCUGGAAAACCAGUUGUUACAGCAUCUUUGUUGAAAAAGCCAUCAUUUCUAUCACUGAAUGGCUCUUAGUUCAUCUGAAAAUCAGAUAGACAUGCAUAUGUGAGUUCAUUUCUGGGCUCUGUUAUUUGAGAGCACUUAACCCUUUGUCUAGCUUUUAGCAAAUCCUAGACAGUAUAGACUUAGAGUAAUUUUUUCAAGCAAGUAAUGUAAGAGUUCUUUGGUUUUUUUUUUUUUAAGAAUUUAACUUUCCUAGGUCCUUUGUAUUUCCAUAUCUAUUUUAGAAUUAGCCUGUCAAUUGCUAAAAAAAAAUAAAUAAAUAAAAACAAAAAAACCUUUGUUUUUGGAUGGGAGUAUGUUGAAUAUACAUAUCCAUUUGGGAAGAAUUUAAGUAAUUACAUGUUCAUAAUUUCCCAUCUUCCUGUUAGUGAACAUGGGGUGUUUGUGUGUACACACGUUAUACCUGUGCAUAUGCAUCGUGUAUGUAUAUAAUAUAUUCUGAAUAUAUUAUACAUAUAGCAUAUAGUAUUGUUUAGUAUAGUAUGUGUAUGACAGCAUACUGUUUAUAUGACCUUUAUUUAGAACUUAAGUUCUUAAAACAUGUGUUUGAGGAAACAGUUGAGUAAAGUGAGUAGAAACUCAAUAUAAAGCAAAUUGUCAAGCUUCGUCCUCAUGUCUUUGGCAUUGCAUAAUUUUUUAAAUGUUGCUUUUAAGAUUUAUUAUGCCAGUGAAAAAUCUAUUCAAAAAAAGAAUAAAUAAUUGGGUAAAUUUGGUUUAUUAAUGGAGGUUAGGCUUGAAAAGAACUAGGGAACAAGGAAGGCAGGAACGUUUAGAACCUAUCCCUAAACUACAUUUUGGCUUUUCAUCCCAAAGACAUCCCUUUUUCUUUUGUCACAUACUGAUUUACUCAAAAUCUUCCCGAAGGAUUUUUAUUUGUCUCUUUCCACAUUUUUUUGUUGCUUUGUGACAUAUGUGAAAUAUCUAGCCCUUUUCAAUCUAUU